rnacentral:rRNA from 1 species
GGCCGCGGGAAUUCGAUUCAGGCCUAACACAUGCAAGUCGAGCGGACGGAGGGCUUCGGCCCGAAGUUAGCGGCGGACGGGUGAGUAACGCGUGAACAAUCUGUCCCAGACAGGGGGAUAACAACCUGAAAAGGUUGCUAAUACCGCAUAAGACCACAGUGCCGCAUGGCACAGGGGUAAAAGAUUUAUCGGUUUGGGGUGAGUUCGCGUCUGAUUAGCUAGUUGGUGAGGUAACGGCCCACCAAGGCGACGAUCAGUAGCCGAUCUGAGAGGAUGACCGGCCACAUUGGAACUGAGACACGGUCCAAACUCCUACGGGAGGCAGCAGUGGGGAAUAUUGGGCAAAGGGCGAAAGCCUGACCCAGCAACGCCGCGUGACUUUAAGGGUUUCGGAUUGUAAACCUCUGUCCUAAGGGAAGAAGGAA